GUGGAUCCAAAUGGCCUGCUUCCACACUGCAGGGAUUCGAACUCUUUGAGCUCACACUUCAAAAUUUCCAACACAAAAUAAAAUUACAACCAAUGCAAAAUCCCAGCCAAUCUGUCCCUUUUGGUUUUGUCUGAUACGUUACAAAGUCUGUUUAUUUUCUUUGGCUACUGUUGGCAUGAGGAGACGUUUGUCGAAAAGGUUUUACAGAAUAAAAAAAGCAGGAUCAAGAGCAGUUGUGACGGAAGAAUUCGGAGCCAGUCACACACACUGCUGACACACGCAAGCUAUUUCUUCCAGUCAUAAUUACAGAGCACCACAGCAGGCAAAUCUGACCACUAUGCUUGCUGUCUGAAGGAUUCUCCACUGAUUUCACUUGUGCUUAUCCACUUAGCAUUCUAACCACUUGUUAAACUGCAACCAGACUUGCUGUGCAGCUGGACAUCACAGGAAAACCCUGGAUCAACUUUACUCUUCCAAUCAAAAUGAACCUAUUGACCCCUUACCCGCCUCACAACGAGCAAAGCAGCGCAUGAGCAGGCAACAGCAGCUUACAGACUGGUGUACUCGUGAUAUUUCAUUGUAAUAAGGUUCUAUACAAACACUUUCUUAUUUAACACUUUCUCUGAAGGAAGCCAACCACAGACAGAUGCACCAAAAGGGAUAUUUUGCCAAGACUUUUCUUCCCCUUUGUCUCGCCCUCCCAAAAGAUCUUCCAGCUGCCAACAGUGGCAUUGUAUGAAAACUCCAGGAAAAAAGUGUUGACUUCAAAUCAAAAAUUGCUUACAAUGUUCCCCAUCCAGUGCUAGAUCUUAUUCUGCAUGAAUAUUCAUCCUACUGUGAAGUUACUUAGUUUCCUGUAGAUAUUAAGCCCAGUCAAAUUGCACCAGCAUUGUGCGUUAGGUGUGAUUAAUCAUUGAAGCUCUACAGUGUGGGAGCAGGCUAUUUAGCCCAUCGAGUCCACACCAACCCUCUGAACAGCAUUCCACCCAGACCCACCUCCUGAUUCCUAUUACUCUGCAUUUCCCAACGCUAUCCCAUCUAGCCUGGGCAACUUAGCAUGGCCAAUCCACUCCAAUCUGCACAUCUUUGGACUGUGGGAGGAAACCGGAGCAAAUCCACACAGAUUCGGGGAAAACCAUGCAAACUCCACGCAGUCACCCCCCUCCCGAGGGUGGAUCGAGCCGUGAGGCAGUAGUGCUAACCACUGAGCCACCCUGCCUCCCCAACCAAAAACACCUUGAUUUGUCAAAGGCAAGUGUGACUUUCACAAAGUCCCACACUAAGGGCAACAGAAGCACAAAACCAGGAGAGACAAUCCAGAGGACAGUAAGAACUGCCGAUGCUGGAGUCAGAGAUAGAACAGCGUGGAGCUGGAGGAACACAGCAGGCUAGGGAGCAUCAGAGGAGCAGGAAAGCUGACGUUUUGGGUCAGGAGAAAUGAAGAAGAGACAAUCGAGGGGCUAGGAUUCUGAGCGAAAACUUCUUAACAUGAAGAGUGAAGAAAAAAAGACUGCAGCAAGUAAUCACGGACUGAAGGGAAGUGAGAGGAGAAAAAGUCAGACUUGAGUUGUGCAUCUGGACAACAGGUACAGGUCUAGAUUUUCACGUCAUACUCCUUUAGUCAAUGCCAUUCGUUGGCUACACAUCUGGAUCUUCCCUGCCGUACAUAUCCGCCUGGUGUGUGACUGUUAAACCUCACACAGAUGUUGUUUAUUUUCACAGGCUGUGAUCGCCACACGCGUCAAAGACGGUGUUUAAAUUUAAAAUACCGUGGUGGUGUUCCAUUUUUCUUCUCUAUUCUAUCAGCGGUGUCUUAAUUAAAUAUCAGGCAUUACUCACUGUCUCAGGGGCUAACCAGGCUGCAAAUGCGAGUGCACACAUACAAGCAGGUCGCAGGAACUGCACCAGCUAAGUACAAGUCCGAAACAGAUCAUUGUUUGCAGUGCAGGCGAGAUCCAAUGCUGCAUGCUGUUGCCCCCACCACCAGCAUGUGCCGAUUAACUAACAGAGAGAGAGUCUCACACAUCAGCCUUGGCAUCAUGCCAGCUACUCAACUAAAGGAAGCAUACCACUGACCGGCAUGAGUCACCUUCUCAUAGCUCCAGAAUAGCAGUGCAGCAGCAUGACUGGUGGAAAGGCAUGCAGAGAGAAAAUGCAGUACAGUACAAAGUUAGUAAGUUAUGUCAUAAGCAGCCAAAACACUGCCCACUCCAACCAGUUCCAAAUGGAGGUUGUUGCCAUCAAAUAGUACCAGUCAGAUGCUGCCAGACCUGAACUUUUCCAGCAACUUCUGUUUUUGUUCCUGAUUUACAAGCAUCGCUGUUCUUUCGAUUUAAAUUACAGCAGACGCUGGAUAUAGAGUAGACUGCCUAAUCAAAUACUUGCAGCCCAGAGGUGAACUCCCUUUGUCUCUUUCAAAAGCCAAGCACAGGUGUUCAUUUCUACCGAGAUUAUUUUGAAAAAGGACAGGGUGUGCAGUUAUUUUGCUUUAGAUUCUUUAACGAGCUGCGAAUAUUGCUGAUAAAGGCCAGCAAUUGUUGCCCAUUUCUAAUUGAAAAUGGUGGUGAGCUGUCUUUUUUCAACUGCUGCAUUCUGUCUUGACUAUACCUAAACAGUUAAUUUGAACAGGAUGCAUACACUGGAUGUGGUGGGGAGGAGGGAAUGGGCUAAUAGAACAGAUGGGAGCAGGUUUGAACGAAGCAACUGGGCCAUAAUGACCUGUCUUGGAAUACUCUGGGAAUACUGCAUUCAAUUCUGGUCUCCCUGCUAUAGGAAAGAUAUUGUUAAACUUGAAAGGGUUCAGAAAAGAUUUACAAGGAUGUUGCCAGGGUUGGAGGGUUUGAGCUAUAGGGAGAGGCUGAAUAGGCUGGGGCUAUUUUCCCUGGAGCGUCAGAAGCUGAGGACUGAUCUUAUAGAAGUUUAUGAAAUCAUGAAGGGUGUGGAUAGGGUUGAAUAGCCAAAGUCUUUUUCCACAGGGUAGGGGAGUCCAAAACUAGAGGGCAUAGGUUUUAAGGGUGAGAGGGAAAAGAUUUAAAAGGGACCACAGGGGCAACUUUUUUCACGCAGAGGGUGGUACUGGAAUGAGCUGCCAGAGGAAGUGAUACAAUUACAAUAUUUAAAAGGCAUCUGGAUGGAUAUAUGAAUGGGUAGGGUUUACAGGGAUAUAAGUCAACUGCUGUUAAAUGGGACUGGAUUAAUUUAGGAUGUCUGGUCAGCAUGGACAAGUUGGAGCGAAGGGUCUGUUUCCAUACUGUACAACUCGAUGACUCUAUAAUUCAAUGCAAUUGCAGAUUUAAGACUGCCCCCUACUGCAUCUGUGGAAUGAUACCAACCUCGUGACUCUGAACGGGAUUAUUAGAAACUGUUUUUAAACUUACCAUUGGACACUAUCACUGUUCUACCAAUAGUUCCAACGGAUGACUGACUGUAGCCCAGCAAGGCAGCAAGGUCUCUCUCCUCUUAGCAACCUCCUACUACUCGCUUCAACAACUUGCUCAGUUUCCAGCGUUCCUUCAAAUUGCAAGCAAAUUGUUGACAAACCCAGUCUGACUGCGGAAACAUUCUAACUGUAUUCCAGCAACAUGUAUACAAAGCCUGAACGUGACUGUGUGCUCGCCUCGUACAAAAGGAUCUCAGUCAGCUCAGUUUCUCCUACUUCCCAAGAGGCAGCACACGGGCGGUAGACUGAAAUGGUGGUGGAACUCAACCCUUGAACCCACCCUUGCUUCAACACACUACAUCACAAAAUGGAUAAAGAUUAAAAUAAAACUACCAAUGCCUCUUGUUAAAAAAAAGUUGAAGAACUAACAUCACAAAUCAUUAAGCCCUCAACCCAGCAAUCCCACUGCCUAAAGACUGACAAACUCCAAAGAAGUUCAGGGAAGGCUAGAAAUUACCAGCAAUAAUCAGCAGGGGAAACAAAAAUUCAUCACCGGAAAUGCAAUAGGGAACUUCGGCAACCUCCAGACGGAGCAACUCUCUCCAGCGCCAGCCUGAAAUUGCUCCCAUGACUUGCUUAUCUAGCGAAAACUGUUAACUUAUUCUGAAUAAGUAGGUCAUCAGCUCUGUCAAGAUAAGGAGGAGAGAGAGAAUCACGCAGUCCUAGGACAAUACCAGCAGUGGUUAUAGCUUUAAGGCUAAAGAGAACAGAGAAUUGUGCACUCUUGUGUAUUUUAGAUACAAUGUAGCUACAAACCAUGCAGCAGGCUAUAGAUUGGAAAUGAUGGGGAGAAAGGACGACAGUGUUACAGUUUUACAGGCUUCUUUUCCCCCCAAGUGACAGCAGGUAUAGUGUUUCACAAAGGCUCAACAUAUACCUUUGCACUGAAUUAAUUCUUAGGGCGUGGGUAAAGAAGGCAUCUGUUGCCACCCAAUUUCUUUCUGGAAAGUGUGACUUUCUUAAACAACUGCAGUCUGUGAAAAGUGCACCCACAUUGCUGUUAGGUCAGAGUUACAAGAUUCUGAGCGAGCAACAAUUGAAGAAACUUUGCCAACUUCUUUUCCCAAAAGGCACAUUAAAAGCACAGGAAUGUAAAAACUAAUCUUGAACUAGCCUGAACUAUGGUCCUUCCACAAUACUUUGGCAGUCAUACAGACCCUUCUGUCCAACCAGUCCAUGCCGAACAUAAUCCCAAACUAAACUAGCCCCACCUGCCUGCUCCUGGCCCACA